UAGGGAAUCUUCGGCAAUGGACGAAAGUCUGACCGAGCAACGCCGCGUGAGUGAAGAAGGUUUUCGGAUCGUAAAACUCUGUUGUUAGAGAAGAACAAGGACGUUAGUAACUGAACGUCCCCUGACGGUAUCUAACCAGAAAGCCACGGCUAACUACGUGCCAGCAGCCGCGGUAAUACGUAGGUGGCAAGCGUUGUACGGAUUUAUUGGGCGUAAAGCGAGCGCAGGCGGUUUCUUAAGUCUGAUGUGAAAGCCCCCGGCUCAACCGGGGAGGGUCAUUGGAAACUGGGAGACUUGAGUGCAGAAGAGGGGAGUGGAAUUCCAUGUGUAGCGGUGAAAUGCGUAGAUAUAUGGAGGAACACCAGUGGCGAAGGCGGCUCUCUGGUCUGUAACUGACGCUGAGGCUCGAAAGCGUGGGGAGCAAACAGG
rnacentral:rRNA from 1 species